ACAUUUUCUGGAAUCGCGAAAGAGCAUCCAACUCCCCAAACCAAAACCCUCAGCGACUCCGCCACGACUCUCACAAAUCAAAUCGGAAAUGGCCAGGCCACUGUUCUUGACUCUGCUCUCUCUCCUCCUCCUCACGACGGCGCUUGCCAGCUCAGACUCGCCGUUCAUCGUCGCGCACAAGAAGGCCACCCUCAACAGGCUCAAGUCGGGCGCCGAGCGCGUUGCCGUCUCUAUUGAUAUCUACAACCAAGGAUCUUCAACUGCAUAUGAUGUGAGUUUGAGUGAUGAGAGCUGGCCUCGGGAUCUCUUUGAUAUUGUCAGUGGUAAUGCUUCCAAGUCAUGGGAAAGGCUUGAUGCAGGUGGCAUUAUAUCCCACUCUUUUGAAUUGGAGGCCAAGGUGAAGGGAAUGUUUAGUGGUGCACCAGCUGUUGUUACAUUUCGCAUUCCCACAACGGCUGCUCUUCAGGAGGCAUAUUCAACCCCCAUCCUGCCUUUAGAUGUUCUUGCUGACAGGGCUCCUGAGAAGAAAUUGGAGUGGGUAAGUAGAAAGGCUGCUGCGUUUAAGUGGUAUUGCAGAUAGCAGUUAUAUUUGGUAUUCUGGUUGUAGGUAACUUUUCUGGUGCUAACUGAGGUUUUGCUUUGUAUUUUCAUAUAAUAAUCUCGGCUGUGGGGGCGAAUAUUAUCAGACUAAGAGGCUGCUGGCAAAGUAUGGGUCUCUGAUCUCUGUGUUAUCCAUUGUGGUUCUGUUUGUAUACCUGGUAGCUACUCCAGGUAAGUCUGGUGGUGCAAAGGGAAGCAAGAAGAAGCGCUAGGCAGUGGAGAUGCAACUUCAGUGGGAUAGCAUAUGAGCAACUUGUUAUAGCUUCAUGCUAACACAGGUUUCUGCAUUGCCGAGUUGAUUUCCUCUCAGAGUUAGUGGCACAUGUUAGUUGUCUGAAACUUGCAAACGAAUAGUUUAUUAACAAGUUAGUGUAAGAUGAACUAGCUGAGUCAUACAGUGGGCUUGAACCCAAAAGCGGAUCUUUGCCAUGUCUUAUAAUCAGUAAUUGCUCCAUCAGUUUUGGAUUCAAGGUUA